GUGUGCUUUUGAUACUGCAUAUACAAAUACAGGCAUUCAUCGUGGCGCUGGCGUAGAACUAGAGAAUCUUUUAGGGCGAAAGCUCAUUUGGUUGCCAUGUCGUCAUCACGUCAUUGAACUACUCAUUAAAGGUGUUUUUGAAGUAUACUGGCCAACGCAAAAUGGCCCAAAUGUUUCAAUUUUUGGUAGAUUCAAAAAUAAUUGGAACAAGAUAGAUAAAUCAAAUUACAGUGCAGGAAUUAAUGAUCCUAUUGUUGCUAAAGUACUAUCAGAGAAAAAAGACGAAACAUUGGAUUUUAUUGAAAGUUAUUCGCUGAAAUAUCUUCCGAGGAAUGAUUACCGAGAAUUUUUAGAGUUAUCGUCAAUUUUUU